UGGCUCAGUUCAGAUCGUAGGCUGCAACUCGCCUACGUGAAGGCGGAAUCGCUAGUAAUCGCAGGUCAGCAUACUGCGGUGAAUACGUUCCCGGGCCUUGUACACACCGCCCGUCACACCAUGGAAGUUGGCCACGCCCGAAGCCGUUACUCCAACCCUUGUGGAGGAGGACGUCGAAGGUGGGGCUGAUGACUGGGGUGAAGUCGUAACAAGGUAUCCGUACCGGAAGGUGCGGAUGGAUCACCUCCUAACAGGGAGACAACACAAUGAUUUUGAUGCCUGAGUGCUUUUAUUCUUAGGCCGAAAUCCUGUCACCUUAGGUCGAUCGGUACCUCAGCUUUGAAGUCAAGGAUCAGCAGCAAUGUUGAUUGCUUGAUGGAGAUUUUCAGUUCCUAAACUUUGUCUAGGUCACACCCCAAAAGGGAUGAGACUCCUGGGCCAUUAGCUCAGGUGGUUAGAGCGCACCCCUGAUAAGGGUGAGGUCCCUGGUUCAAGUCCAGGAUGGCCCAUUCGGUGUUGGGGGUUUAGCUCAGUUGGUAGAGCGCCUGCUUUGCAAGCAGGAUGUCAGGAGUUCGAGUCUCCUAACCUCCACUGACCGAACUUGAUUCCCAUCUCCAAUUUUUUUUUGGAGUUGAGCUCGAUUGGAGUGUGAUUUAGAUGUGUCCGCUGGAUGACCCCAGCUUCCUGUCAUUCCAAGUUUUAGGUUGAUUCCUUGAAUUUGGUUGAUAAGAUGCUGGGCU
rnacentral:misc_RNA from 1 species